CCAGCAGCCGCGGUAAUUCCAGCUCCAAUAGCGUAUAUUAAAGUUGUUGCGGUUAAAAAGCUCGUAGUUGAAUCUGUGUGCCACGCUGUCGGUUCAUCGCUCGCGAUGUUUAACUGACAUGAUUGUGGGACGUCCUACCGGUGGAUUUAGCCUCUUUCUCUUCGCGGAGGGGAGGCGGUCCAGCUAAUAUCCCAUCGCGGUGCUUUUCAUCGAGUGUCGAGGUGGGCCGGUACGUUUACUUUGAACAAAUUAGAGUGCUCAAAGCAGGCCAUCCUCGCCUGAAUACUGUGUGCAUGGAAUAAUGGAAUAGGACCUCGGUUCUAUUUUGUUGGUUUUCGGAACCCCGAGGUAAUGAUUAAUAGGGACAGAUGGGGGCAUUCGUAUUGCGACGUUAGAGGUGAAAUUCUUGGAUCGUCGCAAGACGGACAGAAGCGAAAGCAUUUGCCAAAAAUGUUUUCAUUAAUCAAGAACGAAAGUUAGAGGUUCGAAGGCGAUCAGAUACCGCCCUAGUUCUAACCAUAAACGAUGCCAGCUAGCGAUCCGCCGAAGUUCCUUUGAUGACUCGGCGGGCAGCUUCCGAGAAACCAAAGCUUUUGAGUUCCGGGGGAAGUAUGGUUGCAAAGCUGAAACUUAAAGGAAUUGACGGAAGGGCACCACCAGGAGUGGAUCCUGCGGCUUAAUUUGACUCAACAC
rnacentral:rRNA from 1 species